rnacentral:rRNA from 1 species
GUCUAUGGCCAUGCUACCCUGAACAAGCCCGAUCCUGUCUGAUCUCUGAAGCUAAGCAGGGGUGAGCCUGGUUAGUGCUUGAAUGGGAGACCACCUAGGAAGACCAGGUGCUGUAGGCG